UACGGCCAUAUCCCGUAGAAACACCUGUUCUCUUCUGAUCACGUAAGUUAAGCAACGUUAAGACUGGCCAGUACCUUGGUGGGUCCGCUUGGAAAUACCAUUUGCUGGAA